GUAGGUGGCAAGCGUUGUCCGGAAUUAUUGGGCGUAAAGCGCGCGCAGGCGGUCCUUUAAGUCUGAUGUGAAAGCCCACGGCUCGACCGUGGAGGGUCAUUGGAAACUGGGGGACUUGAGUACAGAAGAGGAAAGCGGAAUUCCAAGUGUAGCGGUGAAAUGCGUAGAGAUUUGGAGGAACACCAGUGGCGAAGGCGGCUUUCUGGUCUGUAACUGACGCUGAGGCGCGAAAGCGUGGGGAGCAAACAGGAUUAGAUACCCUGGUAGUCCACGCCGUAAACGAUGAGUGCUAAGUGUUAGGGGGUUUCCCGCCCCCUUAGUGCUGCAGCUAACGCAUUAAGCACUCCGCCUGGGGGAGUACGGCCGCAAGGCUG
rnacentral:rRNA from 1 species